rnacentral:rRNA from 2 species
UGGGUGCUAAUGGGCCUACCAAGACGAUGACGCAUAACUGGUUUGAGAGGAUGAUCAGUCACACUGGAACUGAGACACGGUCCAGACUCCUACGGGAGGCAGCAGUGGGGAAUAUUGCACAAUGGACGAAAGUCUGAUGCAGCAACGCCGCGUGGAGGAUGACACAUUUCGGUGCGUAAACUCCUUUUAUAUAAGAAGAUAAUGACGGUAUUAUAUGAAUAAGCACCGGCUAACUCCGUGCCAGCAGCCGCGGUAAUACGGAGGGUGCAAGCGUUACUCGGAAUCACUGGGCGUAAAGAGCGUGUAGGCGGAUUGAUAAGUUUGAAGUGAAAUCCUAUAGCUUAACUAUAGAACUGCUUUGAAAACUGUUAAUCUAGAAUGUGGGAGAGGUAGAUGGAAUUUCUGGUGUAGGGGUAAAAUCCGUAGAGAUCAGAAGGAAUACCGAUUGCGAAGGCGAUCUACUGGAACAAUAUUGACGCUGAGACGCGAAAGCGUGGGGAGCAAACAGGAUUAGAUACCCUGGUAGUCCACGCCCUAAACGAUGUACACUAGUUGUUGUGAGGCUCGACCUUGCAGUAAUGCAGUUAACACAUUAAGUGUACCGCCUGGGGAGUACGGUCGCAAGAUUAAAACUCAAAGGAAUAGACGGGGACCCGCACAAGCGGUGGAGCAUGUGGUUUAAUUCGACGAUACACGAAGAACCUUACCUGGACUUGACAUAGUAAGAAUGAUUUAGAGAUAGAUUAGUGUCUGCUUGCAGAAACUUGCAUACAGGUGCUGCACGGCUGUCGUCAGCUCGUGUCGUGAGAUGUUGGGUUAAGUCCCGCAACGAGCGCAACCCUCGUCCUUAGUUGCUAACAGUUCGGCUGAGAACUCUAAGGAGACUGCCUACGCAAGUAGGAGGAAGGUGAGGAUGACGUCAAGUCAUCAUGGCCCUUACGUCCAGGGCUACACACGUGCUACAAUGGGGUAUACAAAGAGCAGCAAUACGGUGACGUGGAGCAAAUCUCAAAAAUGCCUCCCAGUUCGGAUUGUAGUCUGCAACUCGACUACAUGAAGUUGGAAUCGCUAGUAAUCGUAGAUCAGCUAUGCUACGGUGAAUACGUUCCCGGGUCUUGUACUC